UAUCCCGGGAGAGCUAGAGGAUGUGGUAUUCGGCAUAAAAGAAAUGAUGGAGUACAAUAAUAGGAAUGUUUUAAACGGCAUCUUGUGACAACAUUCUGAAUCGAACUGGAACUAUGUCCUCAAAACCACAAGCUAUUAACGAAACGUACCAGCAAUGUCAAAGUUUUGGGAUGUUUAACAUCCACUUGAGCAAAUGUGCAAGGCUCAGUCUGACAUCUCAUCUGAAGGGGAUGGCACAUCCACCAAUCACCGCUCCCUCAGCCUCGCACAGGGGCAUCAGCUGAAAUGACUGUAGCUGGACUUGAAGCAUAACCUUCUAGCUCAGAGGCAAUUUACCAUGGCCAAUUCACCUGACCUGCACAUCUUUCGAUUGUGGGAGAAAAUCAGAGCACCCGGAGGACACCCACACAGACACGGGGAGAACGUGCAAACUCCACACGGACAGUUGCCCGAGGCUGGAAUCAAACCUGGAUCCUGGUGCUGUGAGGCUGCAGUGCUAACCACUGAGCCACUGUACCACCCAUAGCUGUAGUCUUUGUUACAGCUUAUCUUGUUGGUAAAAUGGCAAAAUUGAUAUGGGAAGAAUGCAUAUAGAUCGCCAAUUCAAAAAAAUUUCAGGAGCAAUUUACU